rnacentral:rRNA from 1 species
AGUGAACGCUGGCGGUAGGCCUAACACAUGCAAGUCGAACGGCAGCACAGUAAGAGCUUGCUCUUACGGGUGGCGAGUGGCGGACGGGUGAGGAAUACAUCGGAAUCUACUUUUUCGUGGGGGAUAACGUAGGGAAACCUACGCUAAUACCGCAUACGACCUACGGGUGAAAGCAGGGGAUCUUCGGACCUUGCGCGAUUGAAUGAGCCGAUGUCGGAUUAGAUAGUUGGCGGGGUAAAGGCCCACCAAGGCGAGGAUCCGUAGCUGGUCUGAGAGGAUGGUCAGCCACACUGGAACUGAGACACGGUCCAGACUACUACGAGAGGCAGCAGUGGGGAAUAUUAGGCAAUGGGCGCAAGCCUGGUCCAGCCAUACCGCGUGGGUGAAGAAGGCCUUCGGGUUGUAAAGCCCUUUUGUUGGGAAAGAAAAGCAGCAGGUUAAUACGCCGCUGUUCUGACGGUACCCAAAGAAUAAGCACCGGCUAACUUCGUG